AAAAAAAAAAAAAAAAAAAAAGAUGCUUCUUUGCUUAGAUCCAUGAUGGCUUCCAGCCUGCAUGACAGUUCUAACAGGGCAGCACGGCCUGGAGAGUCGGGUAGAGCUGAGAGCAGAAUGAAGUCGGCUGCGGCGCUGCAAUGGUGUAGCCCUGACUUGACUGCGGUCCCUGCCUCUGUGGUUUCUGAUGACUCUGAGCACAGUACCCUCUCACAUCAGGCUCUUAACCCUUCCUGACCAGAGCUUGCUUCCAUCUUUUCUUUCUUUUAGAAGGUUUUGGGGGCUUCAGUUAGCCAGGGUCACGCCUAUUUAAAAAACCUCUCCACUGGUUGGUUUUCCAAGAUUCUUGUCUCCCUACCCUUGUAGCUGAUUCUUCGGACAGGCCCUAGGCUAAAAAGACCCCUCUGCUGCCCAGGGAUCAAAUAGCUAGGCUGUAAGCAACAGUCAUGUGACAGAGAGCCUCCCUCCGCCUCUAAAAUGCCUAAGAAGGGACCCUCACUCUUCUGUGUGGGCAUUACUAUCUCUCCAGUAAACUGCAAGCCCCCCCCAAAGAUAACCCAUCUUACUGUCACCUUUGAAACCCUGAACCUGAAAAUGUGUAGCCUUGGGUGAUUAAUUCAUUCAGAAAUUGUGUGUAUUCUACAUUUAACUUCACACAGACUUACUAGCCUCAAACAUCGAACUCCUUAAAGAAUGUUGGGGUUUUACCCUUCUCCAGCCGGGUGACAUGAUUUGGAGUGGGCCACAGAGCCAGGCUGAUCUCAGAGUUGGGGUCAGAGUUGAGGUGGCCCUAGGCUUUAGAACGGGACCAGGGCAUGGGCAGCCCAUCAACUGGGAUGUUCAGGCUUCAGAAAAUGGGGAGGGGGCAGAAAGUCCCAUUGUCCUGUUCGAGUCUGUGACCUCAGCCCUCUUCAUGAUGAAGCCAAAACCAGACAAGUCCUCUGUGGUAAGUGAGAUGCCACCAGGCAGGCCCUCCGCUGCCGAGAGUAACAGGGAUCAUGGUCCUGCUCUGGAAGAAAGGUGUGGUGAAAUUGGGUGGUGUGCUUAGCUUGGCUCCAUUUCCUGCAGAAUGAGAAAUGAAGGCCAGAAAGUGAAAGUCAGCAGGAUGGGAAAGAGGAAAAAGUUCAUCUGGGAGCUGGUGUUCGUCUUCCCUUGAGGUGGCAAAAUCAGUUCCUCUUCCCCUUGCUGCCGGGGGAACCGAGCACCUACCACAGCCUGGCCUGGGGGAAGUGGAUCUUGUGAUGCUGGGUGAGUGGGUUAGGGAACAUUCUUUCGCAGGGUGGAAAAGGCAAGCCGGCAGCUGCCUCUGAUCUUCCCUGAGUGGGCAAUGUAGCCACUGUGCUCAGACACAGACAAAGGGAGUGAUUCUCAGCAGUGGGAAAGAGGGCACAGAGUUCUAAGGCAAAUGUGAGCGCUGUGCCCUUGCCAAGCUUGGAUUAACGCUGAGCACCCUCCUGUUUUAACAGCCUCCAUUGUCACUUUCAUUUCUGCUUAUCCACGUCAGCUACAUUGCGUGUGUGACCCGGGACUGUUACUGUGUGAGAAACAUCCCCUGUAGGCUCAUGCAUUUGAACAGUUGGUCUCUGGUUGGUGACGUGGUUUGCAACGUGGAGAUCUGUUGAAAGAAGUGCAUUGCUGGGGGUGGGUUUUGAGGUUUAUGGCUCUCACCCACUUCCUAUUCUCUCUCUCUCUCUCUCUCUCUCUCUCUCUCUCUCUCUCUCUCUCUCUCUCUCCUGUGCUCUGGCCACCAUGCCAUCUCCACCAUUAUAGACUCUGAGCCUCUGGAACCAUAAGUAAGCCCUAUUCCCCUAACUUGCCUUCUGUCAGGGUAUUUGGCCACAGCAACAGAAAAGUAACUAAGAAAAGGACCAAGCUCCAACAUCUGCCACCUCAGUUAGCCAGAAGCCAUGUUGGUGCCCUAGCUGGUCUCAGUGAUAGUCUCCUUAACUUCUAUAUCAUUUGUAUAAUACAAGUCUUUGGGAUCCCUAGAGUUAAUUGCACUCCCAUCACAUUGCAGAGAUAUUAAAAGCCUCAGAUAUUAAAGCCCCUUAUUUAAAAUGAUGUAUAAUAGUAUUUUCAUAUUGCCUAGACCCACCUGUCCAUAUACUUUAAUUUGUCUCUAGAUUAUUAAUAAUACCUGAUAUGAGGUAAAUGCUAUGUGAAUAGUUUUAUGGAUUUCUAAGGAACUAAUAUCAAGAAAUUAUAUUACAUGUUCAAUAGAUGCAAUUCUUGUUUUCCAAACAAUUUCCCAUCUGCGCUUGUCCAAGUCUGCAAGCAUGGAGCUCGUGGACAUGGGAGGAUACCUGGAGUUAUUACUGUCCUCAUGAUUCUGCACAUGUCAACUGGACGUCAUUUUGUGUGUGACAGAAUGAACUAAAACCAAGCCCACUGUUUAGACAGGCAUUCUGUUAACGCCAAUAGCAGCUAGUUGGACUCAGUUACCUUCUGUUCCCUCCCAACACUCACUUUCUUUGCUACAUUGCAAAAAGAUACAAAACAAAAAUGAUAAGUAGUUGUAAAACCUGAGCUGGGAAGGGAGCUGGAAUUCCAAAUUAGUGAGAAAAGGAGUAAGAAACCUGCCGUCUUGGGAAGGCUUUUCAUUUCCUUCAUAUAUUACAAGGCAGUUGAGGCUUGCUGCUAGCUGCAGCCAGGCCUGUCCUGCUGCAAUAAACAGCCGCCUGCUCGGAAAAGACUACACAUCACUAAUCCAGAUAUAUAGUAAAUCUAAGAUAUGGCUGUUUGGGAAGAGAACACAUAAAAUAAAGAUAACAGUACUUAAGAACAACAGGCUUGGGCUGAGGAAACAAGAUUGGCUGGAAAGAAAAAUUAAGAACUGAUGGUAUAAGAUUAAAAUAGAGACAUCAAAAUGGAAAUUUAAGAAAUAUACUAGUCCCCAGGCGGUUUAAUUGCCCUUUCGUUUUUAAAUGAUGCAUUUAUUUUCAUUUUAUUUGUAUAAUUGUUUUGCCUGAAUGUGUGUAUGUAUACCACAUAUGUGCCUGGUGUCCACAGAAGCCAGAAGAGAACAUCCGACCUCCCGGAAUGGAGUUACAGAUGAUUGGGAGCUGCCGUGUGGAUGCUGAGAGGUGUAUGUGUGGAAUCCAUUGGUUUCACUUUUCAGAGUGUUUAUUCGGUGUCUAGUUGUUAUUGUGCAAAGCUGUCUUAUGAGUCUAGACAGUGUUUGGGAAUGUUAAUCUUACCUGGUUAUUUAGCUUUUAGGGGGAUGUGAAAACGCUGGCCAGGCUUUUGUUUCGUAGGCUCGAAAGCAUAGAUUCACAAGUGCCUGCACCUCCGUCUUUCCGUUCACUCUGUGGAUUCCUAUCACACAGCAUCGCUGGACAGCAGGAAGAAGACAUUACGUUGCAGAGGGACAUCCCUGCUGUGAUACAAUCUUUUUCACAGCCAAUGCUAUCUCAAUGUUUAUAUUUGCCAAGAGAACAUUGGUUUCCUAAGUCCUCCCUCUCAUCUUUAAGACUGGAGUUCCGCAUUAGGCCACAGGGUGGCAGAUUAAUAGCAGGGGAAAAAAAAAAAACCUGAGCUCAAGAGUAGUAGAGAACCGGCUUCCACUGAGGUAAAAUAGAGGCAUGAACAAAGAAGGUUCUGUCUCCACGCUGUGUGUGUGGUCCCUUCCAUGAUCCAAAGUUACAUUUGCUAAAUAAACUCACAUCCUUUUAAUCAUAAUAUCCUUUGAAGCAUGGGGGGGGGGGGACUCCUCUACAGACUGGUUAAUAAUGUUUCUGAACACACGGUUGACUUGUAUCUCCCCUGAUGGACGCCUACACUAUUGCUCUAGGUUCAACGCCCACCAGAGAAGUCAAGCUUUUGGUCACUGUCAGUCAACCGCACAAUUACCACCGGGGACUUCCUUUGCACACACACACACACACACACACACUGUCACAGUUGAGUCAAGGCCCAUCUUGGGAACCUGACGUCCUUUGGGGUUCCUGAGACCAUUCCAACUGUUCCACACUGUCCUCUGGGUGUCCAGCCUUGCUUCUCCCCUCCUGCUGAUGUCAGGGCCACCUCUUGACCAUGACUCAUUAGCUGUGAGUCGAAAAGUAGGUUCCAGAACAUGGCACACAGGGACCUUUCCUGCCUGACUCACAACCUGUACAUAUACAGACACACACACUCAUUAGUUCAACGGCACUGACAUUACUCGGUAUCAAACAUACCUCCUUUUCCAUCUGUUUGGGUUUUUUGUAUCAUUCCCUCUAUCCACAUCUCUGCCUGGCAAGCACCCAGCCCAUGUAGUGCCUUGCUCAACACUCUCAGGUAAACAACACCCUGCCGAGCUGACUCUCAUGUUCUGUGCUAAACUUUCUUGCAUGGGACCCAUCCCUUUAUUGUACAAAUAAUAGAUUUCCACAUGUCUGUUUUUUUUUUCACUAAAUGUAAGCUCUUUCACAAAACAUUCGAGCGUGGGAUUUCUUUGGAGAAGCAAUGUAGUCCCACUGGAGACAGACGCUGGAUGGAACCUUGACAAACCAGUAACAUCAAGAGGAUGAUGGGCACUGAAGAGGCUACUUAUGGAAUUUUUAGGACAUGCAGGACCCACAGAGAGAUGACUGCUGAACUUGCUUAAAGGUGGAACUGUCUUUGAAAUUGCCUGCUUCAUGGAAAAGUCUGCCAAACGCUAAACCUGUAGGCUGAAGAUGGAUGCCCCAACAUUACAGAAGACCUUUGGAGCUCAAGGAACCCCACAGAAAAGGAGACAGAAAGACUGUAAGAGCCACAGGCCAUAGACAACACCAGGAAAGCAUGUUCCACUGGAUUAACUGAUCAAGGCACACGUGAGCACACGUGAGCACAUGAAGACUAAAGCAGCGAGCACGGGGCCUACACGGGUCUGCACCAGGUCAUCUGUGUGCAUAGUGUUGCUUUGAGCUUGGUACUUUUGUGGACUCUGUGAUUGUUUGGAUGAGUGGGUCUCUGACUCUAUUCCCCAAAGUUAUGGGGCAUAGUGAGGGCAGGGCUGAGGAAAGUUCAGAGCGCUAAGCACCUUCAUAAAGAAACCGGAGAGACCUUUUACCAGGAACUGAACAGCACACCUGAAAACUCUAGAACGAAAAGAAGCAAGCACACCCAAGAGGAGCAGACAACAGGAAAUAAACAGACAGAGUGUUAAAAUUAGUAAAGAGAACAAUUUAAAGAAUCAAUGAAAUGAAGAGUUGGUUCUUUGAGAAAAAUCAAUGAUAGACAAAUCCUUA